GCACCAAUGGUGUAGGGGUAGCAUGAGUGAUUCCCAUUCACUCGACCCGGGUUCGAAUCCCGGUUGGUGCA